UUAUGUUCUGCAUGCAAGUUGAGGUAUAUGAACUAUUCUUAUAUGAAAACAAGCUGGUCGAUUGUCAAGUUGUGAUCGGUUUGAGUGAAAGAUUAGGACUUGAGCGAGCGUGAUCUGGUUACCGGAGUGAAAUCUCCUGGUAUAAUGAGUAUACUCUUAUUCCCUUUGUACAAAUUCCUGAAUGGAGCAAAUAAUAUCCUUUGUACUAAAAUUUCUUUUGUCAUAAAAGAAUUUGACGGACCAAAAGGGGUGUAUAUGUUUCCAUUCCUUAUCAUUUUCUCAUAGAUUCAUAUUUUCCCUAGGUUUUUGAAUAUAUUAUAAAUACAUCUGGAUUAAGAAAUCUUCAUGAAAGAAAUGCCUAAUGGGCAAACUGAUUAUUACUGUUUGAAGUACACACUAUUACAGUUUUCGAAUAUAUUAUACAUACACAGCUUGACUGAAGAUCAUUAAAAAGGUUAGUUACUGCUAACAAAGGAAAUUCUGCAGUAAUACUGCAGUAAUAAUAAUUCAUGUACAACUGCCUACUAGCAUUAUUACACCAUUUUCCCUCAAAAUUGGCUUGGUAAUGCUAAAUUUAGAAUAACCGCAUCUAGCUAAACAAAUCUUGGUAAUGAAAUGCCCAAUACUCCGUUAUAUCAGCAGCAUGACUUUGAAUGCACUAAAACUCGAACGGCUCAUGUCAAUGGUGUAGCACCCGACGAGGACAAUAGCAAGGCAACGCCGCAUCGUGCUCCUAUGAUCCACUGAGGCGCCUGCUCUACUACUUCAAAGAGACUGCACAAGCACUGACUGAAGGCAACCGAUAGCGCGUACAGAUGGUCGUGAUUGACACGAGGCCCCUAGAAUCCGUAUAGUCUGCCCUGAAUCUCUUCGAGCAGAGAAGUGACCACAGAAGAUUCAGCAGCCCCGACAGAAACGUACAUGGUUGAACUGCGUCCUGUUGAAAUCCAUCGAUCUUUUCUCUGACGCAUGUUGUUUGCAAGUGUAGGAGCAAGAGAUCGACAUCGUGGCCAAGGAGCUGGCGACCUGCAAGCUACAGCUGGAGGCCAAGGAGAGCGUGAACAUGCAGGCGAACAUGAAGCUAGAGGCGCAGCGGAAGACCAUGUAGGACCUCUCAGAGAAGUACGACCAGGUGUUGGACACGGUCGUUGGUUUCUCUCCUUGUUUUUUUGGCAGCAGGGGAAGAAGGAGGAGGAGGAGUUCAGCACGGGGCCCCUCUCCAUUCUCAUGCUCAGCGUCAAGAACAACACCCAGGUCUGCCCUGAAGCAUCACAAAGAAGAGCGAGUGAAGAAGUUUGACUAAUGCAUGCCUUUACUGCUUGUGAUGCUGUCGUCAAAGCUCUUACCGGAGAUGGAAGUCAAGGAAACUACAAAGAGGGAACAGUUGUUAUCUGGAAUAACGAAUCUACCUGUGCCUUCUCAAAUGGAUUUCUGUUUGUUUUUGCUAGUGGAAUGAAGUCCACUGUAGUGACAAUAGCAGUUGUUUUUCCUAUAGUGACAGUAGUCCAUUGUAGUGACAGUAGCAGAUGUACCGGAGAUGGAAGUUGAGAGUGGAAUGAAGUCUAUUGUAGUGACAGUGGCAGAUGUAAGGAAAUGUAUUUAGGAGAUGACUUAUUGUGUUAUGUAAACCUGGGAGAUGUCUUAUUUGAUGUUAUAUGA